GAUGAACGCUGGCGGCGUGCCUAAUACAUGCAAGUCGAGCGAACAGACGAGGAGCUUGCUCCUCUGACGUUAGCGGCGGACGGGUGAGUAACACGUGGAUAACCUACCUAUAAGACUGGGAUAACUUCGGGAAACCGGAUCUAAUACCGGAUAAUAUAUUGAACCGCAUGGUUCAAUAGUUCAAGACGGUUUUGCUGUCACUUAUAGAUGGAUCCGCGUCGCAUUAGCUAGUUGGUAAGGUAACGGCUUACCAAGGCAACGAUGCGUAGCCGACCUGAGAGGGUGAUCGGCCACACUGGAACUGAGACACGGUCCAGACUCCUACGGGAGGCAGCAGUAGGGAAUCUUCCGCAAUGGGCGAAAGCUUGACGGAGCAACGCCGCGUGGGUGAUGAAGGUCUUCGGAUCGUAAAACUCUGUUAUUAGGGAAGAACAAAUGUGUAAGUAACUAUGCACGUCUUGACGGUACCUAAUCAGAAAGCCACGGCUAACUACGUG
rnacentral:rRNA from 1 species